AUUACAUUCUAUAAGCUGACCCAUCCAAUUGAGAAAUCUUGGCAUGUGCUGGGCUUGGGAUACAAUCCAAGCAUUGAUAAGUCGGAUAUUGAGAAUGCUGCAGUUAUACAUUACAAUGGAAACAUGAAACCAUGGCUGGAGUUGGCAAUGACGAAGUACCGGUCUUACUGGACUAAGUACAUUAAAUAUGAUCAUCCCUACCUUCGCAGCUGCAACCUAAGUGAAUGAAUGGGAACACAAAAGAUCAGCAAAGGGACAGUGGGAUGCACCUUCUUUGCUCCAACCUAAGUGAAUGAUUGGGAAUACUGAGAAGCAGCAAAGGUACAGUGUUAUGCUCAGUGAGUGUGAUUCUUUCCCCAAUGAAAGGUCAGUUUGUUUUGAUUUAGUGCACAAGGGGGAGUGGUUUACCUUUUCUCUGUUGCCUUUCCCUUUCCUGUCCCCACAUUGCUAAUUCUUCUUUGUAAUUCAUUUUAAUUAGUUCCUCUAAACGAUGUGCUGCAUUGACCUGUAAGAACUCCCUUCUGUAUUUGGUUGUGGAGUUAGUUUGAUUUGGCAGAGAAGUAAACCUCAUAAUUAUGAGGAUUUGAUUGUGAAUUAAUCUGUAUUCUUUAUACUUACUGCUCAUCCUUUUUGUAUAAUUUAAUAUGGGGAUGAGUUCAGAAAUUUAAAUAGUCAAUGCUUUCUCUUAACAAACCACAGUAGGUUGAUUGCUACUCCCUCUGAUUGUUCUCUUAUCGUAGUUUUCCUGACAAUGGAAUUGAAAAAAGGAAAAAAAAUCUCAGACUGUUGUUCCUGGUUCAUUUUUAUCGCUAAUGAGAUUUGAGGGAUACAAUUCAUGUUUUCCAGCUGUGAUAUAGUAUACAGAUGGAAAAAACCAGGUUGAGGUUGAGCAAAACAUUUCAGCGUUCUUCAAAUUUUUUUCCCUUCUUUUGAAUCUACUUUUCUGGUCCUGCUGAAUGGACCCACUGAAUGUUGGUAAACAGAAAGUACACGAGUAUGGAGCUUUAUUCGUUAUUCUUUAUGGCUCAUGAGAGGCUUAUUUGUUUUGACUUAUAUGUAGGAAUUUCUAACUAGGGAUAGUGUGUCACUAAUCAUUAAUGAAGUUGUAUGCAUUUGGAUGAUUAAUGCUAAAUAGAAGAACAAUGAGGGAAUGGUGAUUAUAGUUUCUCAUUUGAAAUGUUCUGUUAAGUAGUGGUCUGGUUGUUUAUCCUUCUGGUCGCUUGUGAUUUGUCGCUGUUUGGCUCUAAACCGGCAUCAGUCCUUUGACUUACAUCGGCAUGAGGGGGGAUAUCUCAAAUUUUAUGUAGUUGUUUAGGCUGGAUAAAUGAAGGAUUUGAACCAUAAUAUAUGAAAGAUCUCAAAUUUUACUAGGUCUUCUUAAAAAACUUUUCUUUUUCCUUUUUUUAACUCUAAUCUCAUUUAGUUGUGUUGGUUUUUAGUUGGACUGUCAAAAUUGUGAUUUGAUGUUUGAAGUGAAAAUUUUCCAAAAAUGUGUGGUUCUGAUGUGAUUGUUAAUUGGAGUAUUUAUUGUCAUUGUUGAUAAAAUUAUGGACCUUAUGAUAGUAGAUCUGCUGUCUUACCCCAUGGGUCAGUGGUGGUCAGUAUAUCUAAUGAUCUUUUUUCUUUUUUAUUUUUGAUUUCUAUAGCUGCAGAUUUCUUUGAUAUUGUAAUUUUUUUCAUGCUUUAACAAGCAUAUUCACUCCCAUAGUCUCUUCACCUCCACUCUGGGGAGCAUAGAUGAGGAAAGGAAAGAUUAUUAAAAAACGAAAGCAAAAAUAAAUAAAUAAAUAAUGAAGAAAGGUUGUAUUUCUUGAUUCCACCAAUGAAAAUACACCCAAAAAAUCCCUCUGAAAAUAGGUGUUGUGAGCUAUAUUGCCUGGUAGAUGUAUGAAUUUUUUUAUUUUUUUAUAUUUCAUAGACACUGUUCUUGCAGAGCUCUUUUUCUAUUUGAGCUUGAUUGCAUCACUAGCUUUAUGAGUUGAAUUGGUAUGUGUCCUAAAACAAUCAUGUGCAAAUCCAAUUCAAAAAAAAUUUGGUGGCUCAUUUGGUUUUAGGAAAUGAAGACAGAGGCAGUGAUAAUAGCUUUAAAAAUUCUUUAAAUAUCUCAAUUUCACAAUCUUGAAAACCAUAAUAUAGGGAACCCCAUAAAUUGUGUUCUGAGUCUCAAACUUAGAUCUAGGAAACAAGUGAGACCCAGCUGCAUUAGGGGAAAGGCACAAGGGUGGUAAGGCCCCCCUAAAAAGGAAAGUUUUGCUAUGUAAAUGUUUUUGUGGUUGUACCUUGUUCAGAUUUGGUUUGUCGAAUCAUGCAUGUGGGUUGAUGGUGCAUCUAUAUCUGCUAGGCGUACUUAGUUGAAUGAUCAAAUUGGGGUCCACGGAAUAGUUUCUGUUUAUGUGAUUUUCCAGUUACCCAAUUGGGGCUUUCUCUUUUCUGAUUUCCUAAUGCAGGUCCCAAACCAAAUGCUUGCCAUGUCUUUCAUGUGGGGCAUCUACAGAACACAACUGUCCACACACAUUGUUGAAUCAUGUUGUUAGAACUCAACUUAGGGUAGGUUAUGAUGUAUGGUUUACCCACUUAUUGUCACACUCUUUGAGUCUGAUGGAUAUCAUGAACACUAGUUGUAUGUUUGAACAACCUAAAACUUGAUUCUUUAUGAUAUUUGCCUAUAAACUGCAUCAUUUUUUGUUUAUUUAUGUUAAGGUGCCCAUAAGCCUUACCUUGGAUUAUGAUAACUUUGGAGAAAAGUAUAGAUUUCUUUCCAACAAGCCCCAAGCCAGAUUAAAAGCCAGAAAAGGGAUGAGUUCCAAAGUGCAGCCAACACCCAUAUUGUGGGGUUAGAUGACUCAACAAGACCAGACUCUAGGGCAUUUCAAGUACAUUAUGGUGUCACAAGCACUCACCCUAAAGCUACACAUAAGUGCCCCAAUCUGGUCUUUGAACAACAACUUUCCCAAGCAGUACUUCAUCACCAGUACUUUAUUGAACUUCUCAAAUCUGCUUUCCUUGGAUGUGAUGUGAUUCUGUCUCUCCUUGGCCUUAUUCUAAUUCUCUAUCUUCACUUGCAUAAGCCUGCCUUUUUUAGUCCACUUCCAUGCACUUGCCUUUUCCUUCCUCUAACUUCCAAAGCAAAAAAUCUAAUUGGGAUCAACUUUGCUCCCCAUUAUCUUUAUAAGCCCUCAAGCCGCCCCCCCACCCCCCACCCCCAUCAGCACAUCCACCAAAUAUUCCCUAACAUAGCCAAACAUCUAGGCAUCGACCAAACUCUAAAUCCACACCAUCCCAUUGGAUGAAUAGGGAGAACUACAUAACUCAACUAGUUUUGUCUUCAAUGUGUCUAUCAAUGUCACAGAAGUUGCUUUGUGAGGGGGUCCUUAUAUGCUCUUCCUUUUAGUGGCAUAUAACAUCUUUGCAAACUCACCCUAGUAAUUGCCACUAAAGGCAACUCAAAUUGGUCUUAUGCUAUACUACCCAAAUAUCUUAGUUUUUACUUUCCUUGCACUGUUUUUUAUUUUAAUAUUGGAAUAGAAGAUUCAUUGCUGUAAGUGAACUGUCAAAAAUCUGUUAUUCUCAAGAUGAUUAGAUGAUUAGCUUAAGGCAGGAGAUUAUGAUACUUUUGUUUGACAUUGAAAUGAUCGAAAAGCUAAAGCUAGGAAUUAAUGCAUGGUCGUCUUAUUGAAUACAGAGUACAAGAUUCGGGAGGGAUUCUCUACAUGGCCCUUACCUCAUUUGUUCAACAACAAAUCAAGAUAGAUACCUUUUGAAAAGUGGGAUUGAUCCAUCUCCACAAAGCUUUGUUGGGCACAUGCCAGAAUCCCACUGCCUAAUGGAUGCUCAAACUCGAAUUUUGACAGAAUUCUUUCUUGGAACUUUGAGAAAAUUUAUUUUUUCUUUCACUGGCUGUGCAAUGUCCUCGAUAAAUAUAUAGAAAUGUCUUGUAAGUGAUCAUGUAUCAUCCAUGAUGGCUAAGAUACUAUAAUGUGCCUUUCCUUGCUACUUUCUUGUUGGUUUUACUUUGUUCAUAGAUGCAUACUUUGUGUGUGAGUGAUUAAUGACUUAACUUUCUAACUCUAGCUAAAUUCAAGGAGAAAAUAUCUGUUGCCUUUUCCUUUUUUUUCUUGUUAGUCGUUUAUAGAAGCUUUUC
rnacentral:lncRNA from 1 species